GACGAACGCUGGCGGCGCGCCUAACACAUGCAAGUCGAACGAGCGAGAGAGAGCUUGCUUUCUCGAGCGAGUGCCGCACGGGUGAGUAACACGUGAGGAACCUGCCUCUAUGAGGGGGACAACAGUUGGAAACGACUGCUAUUACCCCAUAAGCUCUCGGUGCCGCAUGGCAUCGAUGGAAAAGGAGCGAUCUGCUUUGACAUGGCCUUGCGUCCGAUUAGCUAGUUAUUGAGGGUAUGGCCCACCAAGGCGAGGGUCGGUAGCCGGAAUGAGAGGUUGAGCGGCCACACUGAGGGUGAGACACGGCCCGGACUCCUACGGGAGGCAGCAGAGGGGAACAGUGCACCAUGGGGGGAACGCUGAAGCAGCGACGAUGGGAAGAGGAAGAAAGUCGUCGAAUAGUAAUCUCCUGUUGUCGGGGAAGAUAAUGACGGUACCCAACAAGAAAGUGACGGCUAACUACGUG
rnacentral:rRNA from 1 species